UACAGAGGGUGCAAGCGUUAAUCGGAAUUACUGGGCGUAAAGCGCGCGUAGGUGGUUCGUUAAGUUGGAUGUGAAAUCCCCGGGCUCAACCUGGGAACUGCAUUCAAAACUGUCGAGCUAGAGUAUGGUAGAGGGUGGUGGAAUUUCCUGUGUAGCGGUGAAAUGCGUAGAUAUCUGGAGGAACAUCAGUGGCGAAGGCGACACCCUGGACUCAUACUGACACUGAGGUGCGAAAGCGUGGGGAGCAAACAGG
rnacentral:rRNA from 1 species